AUAUAUAUAUAUAUAUAUAAUUGAACUUAACCCUUUUUAUUUUAACAAAAUAAAUAUUUUUUUCAGUGGCUCAACAGAAUUGAUUCUAUAGUUCAACCGAUGGUGUGUGCAUUAAUAAAUCGUCUGUCAUGAACCAAUGAGAGGAAUAUUCUAUGUCUUCACCCAAAGAGACAAAUGAGACUCAUCGACUAGGAGUCCUAUAUUUCGUGCAAUGUGUUUCUAGCAAUUUACUAAGGAGUUUGUUUCUUUGGACACACGUCUUCAAGAAAUACAGAAUUUGAGGUGUCCUCAUAUCUCAAUGUAUUAUGUAGUUAAGAGCUAAGUCAUCAGACAAUAUUGAAAUUGCUGGUUUCUGUGGACCUUACUCAGAAGUCAAUGUUUCAUUUGCAUUCUUCCUUGCUAUCACACAUUAGCCUGACUUAAUACAAGAAUGAAUCAAUAUUUGCUGCUCUCUCAAUAUGAACUGACAGUGAUAGCAUACACAGCUUUAGAAACAAUACAAAUUCCUGUAAAAGUGGUUCCAGAUUCUGAUUUAACCUGUUGACAUCCGUAUAGAGAGGGUGAACAUGGAACAUGGUCGAUCAAUCAAUCUAUUGACAACAAUUACGAGAACUAUCUCAUUAAGUCGUGAUCUUCCGAUUCAUUUACUCGUAGAGAGUAUGGCAACCCAGAUGAGUUCCACAUGGUCCACCCAAAGAAAUCUUUGCUCAACAAGGAUAACACCAUAUGUAAUCAAAUGAGCAAAUGGCCAAAGCUUCCAUCCUGCAGUCAACGUUGGCCAAAAUGUUGCUGUCAGUUCACUAAAAAUAUUGGCUGGGGACUCCAAACGCAAGAAACCCAACACUGUGAAAUAGAUGCUAUUCCAAACUGCUGCCCACACUGUUUGGUCAAAGGCAACUUCGGCAGGGACCAACCACCAAUCUUCAAAAGGAAAAAGAGCCUAGAAACCAAAGUAAACAAUUUCAGCCAUAAAACCAAAUGAAAAAAAUGUCAACCAUAAUUACCACCUCACAAAAUUGGUAGCAAUAAUUAGAAAGGGAUCCAUGAAGAGUAAACCCAACAAGGCCUGAUCUAAACAUGCGUGUUCGGUUAAACCCAAAAUGCGGCUUUCCUUCAUAGCACUGCACAUUUAGAAGGUUAAAACUAACAAAUCAUGAAAAAUAAGUUGAUAAAACUGCUAAUCCACUGAUAAAAAAGACAAUGAGAAGAAAAAAGGAAAAAAAUCAAAAGUACUUGUGCAAUCCAAUCUCCUAUAGAGUAGACAAUCCCACUGAUAGCCAUUUUAGCUAAAACAGGGUUUGUUUUCAGAGCUUGUUCAUAUGCAAUCCAAUUGUGUUCAGGUGCAUACCUUAGUACCUCAUAAAAGGUCCAUCCCAGCAAAUUGGAUAACAUUAUCAGAAAAGUCCAGGGCAAGAAAAACAUUCAACAAUUAGACGAUAAUUUUGUUCACAGCUAAUUGAAAUAUCGAGGAAAUCAAUUCUAAUCCUAAAUUCCACUGUUUUCCUUUCUUCACCACUAUUUGUUUAUCCCGUAGUCUUAGAAGGAAUUUAUACGAGACUUCGUAACUAGUCUGAAAAAUAAUAAUCAGCCCAACCUCACAAAAUCAGAUUUUGACAAGACGGGAUUACAAAACCUCCAAUAUUAACAACCUCUACAGUUAAAAUUAGAAAAAUUGAGCAAUUAAUCACAAAUAUAAGAUAGAUGAAAAGGAAAUUUUUCUUAUGCAAACCACCAGCAAAUGAAAGCAGAGAUAACAGAGCUUGAACUAAUGAAAAUCACUUACGUGCCAAUAAUCAUGAUCAAUAGUGAGCAACUUACUGACAGAAAGAGUCCCAAAAACUAAAACAAAAGUAGCAUUAAUUGCUCUACUCAUUAACUUGUUUUUAUAAUCAUCGCCUUCUCCUGUUUCUUCAAUAGAAGAAGAUGAAAGGUCCUGAAAAUCUUUAGACCCACUAGCCCAUGAAGGGUUCUCUUGGUCCUUUGAAGGACUAUAUUUCACAGGAACCACUUCUCUAUCCUCCGUGACAGAUUCAAUAGCCCAUCUCCUUCUAUUUUGGGUUGAAAGCAGUGAAUUUUUUGAUGGCUUGGGUGUGGUAGAGAGGAGAAGAGAAAAGGAUCUGGAUUUAUGGGAUCGUGAAUGGGUUUAGCCAGUGUAGAGAGAUUGUGGGCAGUGAUAGCUUCAAGAGUUGUCAUGGAUGCUAAAUUGUUAAUGGGUUAAAGCUUCGACGAAGAGAGCCGAUAGGCCGGAUGCCAGAUCGCGUCAAAUUUGUGAUCAGAACGUUUAUGCAUUCACAAUGC
rnacentral:misc_RNA from 1 species